AAAACUUGGAAGGCAAGCCCUAAAGUUUGGAUUGUACUACACAGGGAGUUAAAUAUUAUAAAAAAAAAAUGUACUCUGUCCAAUAAAAAGGUUCCUAUGGGUUCUUGUUACCCCCGUAAGGAUUAAAACCUGUGCUUAAGCCGGGCAACUUUCCUGCUUGAUCAUGCCAUAAUUUAGAAGUUUGCUGAGCUACAGCUAUUUGCAGUUGUUAGACUGAAACGUCCUUUCAUCUCUGCAAUCUCAUUCAGUCCCCUAGCAUUGUGGGGAUGCAGGCAAACCACUAUAAAUAACUGAGCCUUUUCAUGUCAGCUGGUACAAAUACCAGCCACUUCGAACAAUCUGACCUUUCUUGGGGAUCUGACCGAUCUGCAGUGGAAGACGGCUAAUAUCUGUCAGGAUCUUCCAUGGUUAAGUAAAUCAGGAGAGACUGCACUUGUGUUGGACCAUGCAAAAGCACAAAGUGAUGCUGGUUCCUUCGCAUACUGACUAACCCCAUAUGUCUGCUGUGCAUAAACACCACUACCUGCCUGGAACCCCUUCAGCCCUCAGAUUUCCAUUUGCAGCUGUCUCCAGCGUGUCGCAAGAAAAGAUGAUGGAUGGACAGAAUUUUAUUUCCAUUAAAAUGAAGCCAACUAAAUGUUUUCAUCUGCUUUAUUAAAAAAUACUAUUUCUUGCUUUGCUUAAUCUUGAAAAAUGCAGCAUGUUUCUGCAGCUGAUUUUGCAUUUUAUCUAGAAAAUGGGUGCCUGAGGUGGAAUAAUUUUCUCUGGGAACAGAGCAGGCUGCAGUUUUGACUUUCUUCCGAUGGGUAGAGGGCACCCAGUGUGGGAGAAGCUGAUAGUCCCACAGCUACCAAUUCCUCAGAGGGUUCAUACUUCAUGGUUUGGGCAAGAUGACCCCCAAAGUCCAACAGUGAAGGCAGUCAGGGAGACUGGAGACCCUCCUGUCAACUAAGCUUUGCCAUCAGGCUUGCUGCUCCUCUUCCUGACCAUGUCCAAGCCCUGCAGAGCAUUGCUCUCCCUCCUUGAGGGGUUUCUGUAAUUCCUGCUGUUGACACAAUUCGUAGUGAGAAUCACUUCCAGAAGACUGCUGGAAGAGAGCUCUGAAGUAUUUGGAUCUGAUGGGAUUGGGUGGCAGGGAGGGAAACACAUUAGAAGCACAAGAGCUUGGCAUCUAACACAGGGGCCUGAGGGUGUCAGAUCUGAGUGAACAGCUGCUCUAUCACAGUAUCUGUAUAACUAAAUCUGUCCAAAAAACACAGUUUGUCCAAGGUUCUUCUUUACUUUCAUUGUUUCUUCUACUUCUCUCUUGUUUUCCCAGAAAUAGAACAUGACAUUUAUUUUUAUGGACACCAUGAUCUUAUGGCUAUUCCCCUGUGACGGGGUAAUCUGAACACAAUUAUGUUCUGUUGACAAAAAGUGAUAAAAGUGUAUUGUGUCAACACUCUGAACUAACAGAUUUGUCAUCUGUUCUACUCUCAGAUAAUAGAAACAGAAUUAGAAAAUGCUCUGACAGACUCUAUUCUCUUCUGUGGUUAGGUAAGCCUGAGCUCUGUGCUUGGUUACUGUACCCCAGUGUUCUCCAUCUCUGUCUGCCUGUGUUUUAAAUUCAGGUAUGAAUUUUGUUUGAUGGACUCCUUUUGUCAGCUUAUAGCUUAUGUGCUCUGAAGUAAUUUGACCUAAGUUCUCCAUUUCACUACAGUUCUGUCACUCCUAUUUGUUUCCAUGGCUUUAGAAAAUCCAACUUUUUUGUGCAUCAUUUUUUCUACCAUGCAAUUUUCCUUCUAGAAAAUGAAUUUGGCAGUAAUACCUGCAUUACAUUCUCCCUCCAGCUGACUUCUUCAUGAGUUCAUGGAUAGCAAUCUACUUUUCCUGAGACAGGCACCCACAUUUGCUGUAUAUGUACAGCCAGCCCUAAGCUCACACAGUUUUAGAGGGAAAUAUGUGCAUAUAGCAUAACAUACAACACCAUCGUAUGCUUGGUCUGAAGACAAGUCUACACUUCCAGCUCUUGGUUAGUUGGAUGACAAUUACUGUUUAAAAGCUAAAAGAAUGAUGACAUCAUUGAAGCAAAACAGAAAAGGCUUUUUCAUGGCCAAAAAGAAAAGCAAUUUCCAAAAUUUCUGUAAAACAUCUGGGUUUGUGGCUGUGACUCCUGCACUGUUAAAUGCCAUUAAACUGCAUUUCCAUUCAAAAGGGGCAUGUACAUGCGUGUAUAUUAAGGGUUUCUAAAAACAGGAAUCAAUAGACACCAGGUACAAAUGUGGAAUGAGUCAAGCAUGAUAGCAUUUGGUCACCUGACUAGUGCCUGUCUGAAAAGAUCAAGGAUAUUGCCCCACUCAUCAGAACAGAGGAGAUAAUAGGUGCCACGAAGAUGCUCUUAGCUUACGUAUUUGGUCCUUCCUCAGCUCAUUUGCUCAGAUUCCAGGUUAAACACUAGGUCAGAAUGGGAUUCCUAAGAAUCAGCUUUUUCAGGACCACAGACAUUAGAGUAAUCCCACAUCUACUCUAAUUCGAAGUGCAGGCUGAACUCCCUCUUUCCUCCAGUCAAGACACUACAGCCCACUUUGCUCCUCAGCUUCUGCAGUGCCCCAGAGCAUCCAGCCACAUGGAGCUUGUCCCUGCAUAAGCAACAUUUUGCACAUACAUUUCCCUUGGUUUGGUACAUUUGUUGUUUGAACAGAAAAAUGCAAUCGGUUUUGACAGCAGGGUGAAAUGAACUGAGUAUGUGCACAUGAAGAGUUAUUGUUUACUCCCCUCAUCCAGCUCCUGCCAGUGGAAUUUUUUAGUGUGGGAGUGGAAUCAAGGCAUUUACAUCCUGAAAUGAGAAUAAUGGACUGAAAUAGUGGUUUAAGGUGUUUUGGCACCAUAUUCUGAUACCCAUAGCAACCUUUAAAGAAAACUGAGCUGGACAUUGCAAUGGAAACUUAGCACCAUCUACAAUUUAAUUCACAACCCAAAUUUCCCAGUAGAAGCCACAGCUCAUUACCACACCUACAGAACCACUCUUGAAAGAGAGCACAGAUCUGACUCCUGUUCUCCUCCUCCUCUCUGACUGACAGCCAGACUUGGUGUUCAACAAAAGGAUGCUGCUGUGAGAAAACAGCUAAGGAAAAAAAAAGGUGCUAAAGUUCUUUUCAGAAUUGACUUAGAGCAUGAAUAUAUUGUGUAACGCACAACUUUGAAUAAAAUGAAGCAAUACCAGUAUGGACAAAAGUUUUGCUUACCCACCAGGUUGGUCCUCUCUGUGUUAUUGCAUCUAAGCCUUAUCAAGUAAAUCUUGAAUAAAUGAAUAUUUA